rnacentral:rRNA from 1 species
UGCAGUCGAGCGGACAGAUGGGAGCUUGCUCCCUGAUGUUAGCGGCGGACGGGUGAGUAACACGUGGGUAACCUGCCUGUAAGACUGGGAUAACUCCGGGAAACCGGGGCUAAUACCGGAUGCUUGUUUGAACCGCAUGGUUCAAACAUAAAAGGUGGCUUCGGCUACCACUUACAGAUGGACCCGCGGCGCAUUAGCUAGUUGGUGAGGUAACGGCUCACCAAGGCAACGAUGCGUAGCCGACCUGAGAGGGUGAUCGGCCACACUGGGACUGAGACACGGCCCAGACUCCUACGGGAGGCAGCAGUAGGGAAUCUUCCGCAAUGGACGAAAGUCUGACGGAGCAACGCCGCGUGAGUGAUGAAGGUUUUCGGAUCGUAAAGCUCUGUUGUUAGGGAAGAACAAGUACCGUUCGAAUAGGGCGGUACCUUGACGGUACCUAACCAGAAAGCCACGGCUAACUACGUGCCAGCAGCCGCGGUAAUACGUAGGUGGCAAGCGUUGUCCGGAAUUAUUGGGCGUAAAGGGCUCGCAGGCGGUUCCUUAAGUCUGAUGUGAAAGCCCCCGGCUCAACCGGGGAGGGUCAUUGGAAACUGGGGAACUUGAGUGCAGAAGAGGAGAGUGGAAUUCCACGUGUAGCGGUGAAAUGCGUAGAGAUGUGGAGGAACACCAGUGGCGAAGGCGACUCUCUGGUCUGUAACUGACGCUGAGGAGCGAAAGCGUGGGGGAGCGAACAGGAUUAGAUACCCUGGUAGUCCACGCCGUAAACGAUGAGUGCUAAGUGUUAGGGGGUUUCCGCCCCUUAGUGCUGCAGCUAACGCAUUAAGCACUCCGCCUGGGGAGUACGGUCGCAAGACUGAAACUCAAAGGAAUUGACGGGGGCCCGCACAAGCGGUGGAGCAUGUGGUUUAAUUCGGAAGCAAC